AAUUUUGUUUUUUUGUUUUGUUAGCUUCGCUUGGGGUAGCUAUCUCUGGGAUUUUACUUAUGUUGACUUUGAGGAUACAUGGAACAAAAUACAUAAUUAUUUAUCACUUUCUGAGCGUCGUCAAACUUUAAAGUACUCCGUCUCAGGAUUUACGGCUCCAAUAAGGAUAUGGAUAUAUGAGAUGAUUCCGACUGUUCGUGCAUGUGGAUUUGUAUUGAGAAAAAAUAAAGACUUGCCUCGGAUGAAACGAUGGAGUGGAACAAAAAAAUUGAAAUGGGUUGACGUGAACAAGAUUUGGUCAAAGAUACAGGUUUAUAAAUUUUUCGUUUAUUAUUAAUAAACUUGAUUAUUAUACUUUUAUAUGCAUUUUUAAUAUGUUUAAU